UCCUGAGAGGUCAGAUUGAAUUCAGACAUGGCCCAUGGACAUGGAUGUGAACAUGGACACCAUAAAAUGGAACUUCCAGAUUAUAGACAAUGGAAGAUAGAAGGGACACCAUUAGAAGAUAUCCAGAAGAAGCUGGCUGCAAAAGGGGUAAGGGAUCCAUGGGGCCGCAAUGAAGCUUGGAGAUACAUGGGCGGCUUUGCAAAGAGUGUUUCCUUUUUUGAUGUAUUCUUUAAAGGAUUCAAAUGGGGAUUUGCUGCAUUUGUGGUAGCUGUAGGAGCUGAAUAUUACCUGAAUUCCCUGAAUAAAGAUAAGAAGCAUCACUGAAGAUAAUA